rnacentral:tRNA from 2 species
AAUGAUGAGCCUGACUAAAGGACUAUCGUGAUAGGAUAAAAUAUGCAGCUACAACCCUGCCUUCAUUA